rnacentral:rRNA from 1 species
GGGGAAUAUUGGACAAUGGGCGCAAGCCUGAUCCAGCCAUGCCGCGUGAGUGGAGAAGGCCUUCGGGUUGUAAAGCUCUUUUGUUGGGGAAGAAAAGCAUCCGGUUAAUACCCGGGUGUUCUGACGGUACCCAACGAAUAAGCCACGGCUAACUACGUGCCAGCAGCCGCGGUAAUACGUAGGUGGCAAGCGUUGUCCGGAUUUAUUGGGUUUAAAGGGUGCGUAGGCGGUCCUAUAAGUCAGUGCUGAAAUAUCCCGGCUUAACCGGGAGGGUGGCAUUGAUACUGCAGGACUUGAGUAAAGUUGAGGUGGGCGGAAUUGACGGUGUAGCGGUGAAAUGCUUAGAUAUCGUCAAGAACACCGAUUGCGAAGGCAGCUCACUAAGCUUUAACUGACGCUGAGGCACGAAAGUGUGGGGAUCAAA